AUUGAACGCUGGCGGCAUGCCUUACACAUGCAAGUCGAACGGUAACAGGUCUUCGGAUGCUGACGAGUGGCGAACGGGUGAGUAAUACAUCGGAACGUGCCCGAUCGUGGGGGAUAACGAAGCGAAAGCUUUGCUAAUACCGCAUAAGAUCUAAGGAUGAAAGCAGGGGACCGCAAGGCCUUGCGCGAACGGAGCGGCCGAUGGCAGAUUUAGGUAGUUGGUGGGAUAAAAGCUUACCCAGCCGAAGAUCUGUAGCUGGUCUGAGAGGACGACCAGCCACAGUGGGACGGAGACACGGCCCAGACUCCUACGGGAGGCAGCAGUGGGGAAGUUUGGACAAUGGGCGAAAGCCUGAUCCAGCCAUGCCGCGUGCAGGAUGAAGGCCUUCGGGUUGUAAACUGCUUUUGUACGGAACGAAAAGACUCUUUCUAAUAAAGAGGGUCCAUGACGGUACCGUAAGAAUAAGCACCGGCUAACUACGUGCCUGCCGCCGCCGUAAGAC
rnacentral:rRNA from 1 species